GGGAUCUGAUUAGAGGGGGAAUCUGAAUAGAGAGAGUGGGGUCUGAUUAGAUAUGGUAGGAUCUGAUUAGAGAGGAAGGGGUCUGAAUUACUUGCAAAAAAAAUGGCGAAGUAAGAAUUUUGCUUGUCUGCAUAAGUCGACAAAGAAAGUUUAAAGUAAUUUGAGCCUGCAGUUGGUCAGCGAUAUAUUAUUGUAGUUAUCGUGGCGGUCAGAAAACCAAAAAUAUGACGUCAUCAUAGAAACUUUCCAUAUGAAAACUUGUCACAGAAACGUGCUUGUCUAACUGGCUUUACUGGACCGCUUGAGGGAGAACAGUUUAGAACUGAUAGAGCUGUCUAGUGUAAAUAAAGUUGGUUUAUAGUGAAGGUUUCGUCCUGCAAUCUAUAAAUUCGGG